GACGAACGCUGGCGGCGUGCUUAACACAUGCAAGUCGAACGGAAAGGCCCUGCUUUUGUGGGGUGCUCGAGUGGCGAACGGGUGAGUAACACGUGAGUAACCUGCCCUCGACUUUGGGAUAACUUCAGGAAACUGGGGCUAAUACCGGAUAGGAGCUCCUGCUGCAUGGUGGGGGUUGGAAAGUUUCGGCGGUUGGGGAUGGACUCGCGGCUUAUCAGCUUGUUGGUGGGGUAGUGGCUUACCAAGGCUUUGACGGGUAGCCGGCCUGAGAGGGUGACCGGCCACAUUGGGACUGAGAUACGGCCCAGACUCCUACGGGAGGCAGCAGUGGGGAAUAUUGCACAAUGGGCGGAAGCCUGAUGCAGCAACGCCGCGUGCGGGAUGACGGCCUCCGGGUUGUAAACCGCUUUCGCCUGUGACGAAGCGUGAGUGACGGUAAUGGGUAAAGAAGCACCGGCUAACUACGUG
rnacentral:rRNA from 1 species